GACGAACGCUGGCGGCGUGCCUAAUACAUGCAAGUCGAACGCUGAAGGAGGAGCUUGCUUCUCCGGAUGAGUUGCGAACGGGUGAGUAACGCGUAGGUAACCUGCCUGGUAGCGGGGGAUAACUAUUGGAAACGAUAGCUAAUACCGCAUAAGAGUAGAUGUUGCAUGACAUUUGCUUAAAAGGUGCAAUUGCAUCACUACCAGAUGGACCUGCGUUGUAUUAGCUAGUUGGUGGGGUAACGGCUUACCAAGGCGACGAUACAUAGCCGACCUGAGAGGGUGAUCGGCCACACUGGGACUGAGACACGGCCCAGACUCCUACGGGAGGCAGCAGUAGGGAAUCUUCGGCAAUGGACGGAAGUCUGACCGAGCAACGCCGCGUGAGUGAAGAAGGGUUUCGGAUCGUAAAGCUCUGUUGUAAGAGAAGAACGAGUGUGAGAGUGGAAAGUUCACACUGUGACGGUAUCUUACCAGAAAGGGACGGCUAACUACGUG
rnacentral:rRNA from 1 species